UUUUAGGCUUUUGCUUGUUUUCAGGUUCUGUUCUGUUGGGGAAAAAAAAAAAACUUCAGGGAUUUAUUGAAGCACUUCACAUAGUAUUCAGUGAUUGUUAGUCUCGGUAUAGUUAUAGAGGAAGACGAGCCUUGAGCAGGAUGUCCUCCAUAAGCCCUUUAAUGGUGUCAGUUUCUCACAGGGAUUUGAACCAUAAAGCAGUUCCUUAUCCAUAGAUUACCUGGAGUUCCAGAAGAUGAUGGCGUACUGUAUUUUCAGAUGGAUCCUUUUGAAAGUCGUAGGGCCUCGGCUUUGGUGUGUUUUUUUUUUCUUUUCUCCUCUAGAUCUCGAGCGGGCGGGUGUGUACGUGUGAGAGAGAGUUUGUAAUCUAUGUGUGUCUCCUGGCUGGCCUUUCUAUUUGCUGCGUAACACCGAGCUUGACUCCCACGGCGGCUCUGAGAUCAGAGGAAAGCUCUGGGUGGCAGAACGCUGGCGUGCAGCUGCAGCUACACACAGGAAGACGAGAACACCAUCCCACACACUGUGCUCUGCUCACGGAGGAGGAGGGAAGUGCUUCAGAGUGCGCACUGGCUCUCGUGGCAUGCUUAAACUCAACUAAGACCGGUGCAGAGGCAGUGCAAGAGAUGAGAGAGGCUUCAGGAGCGAUGGAGGAGAGGCACAGGAGCUUGCCUGGAGCUGCACCCAAACAUCAAAGGCAGAGACAGAGCUGUGAUGUCAUUUGAUUCGAUGUCAUCAAGUGGAUGGUGCUAAGUCUCCCAGGUGUUUUCAGCGUCCUCUCUGCAGUGCAGGCUGACAGGAAUGAUGCCAAUUUAUUCUGAGUUGUAAAAGAUUCACGCCUGGAGAAGUCAAUGGUCUGCAUGGGUCGGUUUAAGGCCUCCACACACAGCCCUGUACACCACUCACACACAUACACAAACCGGAGAAUUCAAUAUUUUCUUAAUGUAGUGUAUAAUCUAUUCAGAAGUAAAGCGCAGCAUGGCCAUACAAUGUAUGAAUUAAAAUACAUCCAUUUGUGUGUCUGGGUUGUUGUGGGAAUUGUGCGUAGCCUGAAGGGAAGGAUUGCGAAAUAAUCGUGAAAAUAUUUCUGUACAUCUUGACCUUCAAAGUGUACAGUGAUAUUGGUCAAUACAUAGUGUGUGUGUGUGUGUGUGUAUGUGUGUGUGUGUGUGUGUGUGUGUGUGUGUGUGUGUGUGUGUGUGUGUGUGUGUGUGUGUGUGUGUCUAACCAUACACUGGAAACUGAAGUUCAUAAAGCUUCAAGCAAUGUUCUAUAAUCAGUCGUGUUGGACGAUGUUCUCUAACAGUUUUUUUUGGUUUACAGGAGUGUAGCUCAGACAAGCAGAGAGAAGAUAAACAGAUUAGAUAAAUAAUCAUAAGUACAGUAGUUGCCCUUGUGUAUAAACUUUUGAAAAGUCCUUCUCUUAAUUGUUUCUGAACGCUGCUUGUAUCGAUGAAGGAAAAAACGUUACAGGAUACAGAGGAACCAUGUCGUGCUUCUACACGAAGGUUGACGCGUGUCAGAAAGGAUCAACUCCGUGUCUGACAUCAGGAUCAAACCCCACGUAAAAGCGCUGCUUAAUACAUCAGACAUGUACAACAGCGAUUCAGCUCUGUCAUGUGCCUUUGACCCCGAUGUCACUCAUGACCAAGGACGAGGGAUUUUCUACUCUGUUCUGCCCUUUUCUGCUUCUGUCUGUCAUUCUGUCACAAUCAUUCUGAUAACCUUCCUCCAAAUAAAGCAUGAUG